AUGGGAAUUCACACAGAGAAACUAGACAACAGCGGAAGGUGCCCUGCUCCAGCUGCAGGGACUCAGCCAGAAAGACUGGAAUACUACAUGACUCUACCUGCAAGUUGGGGAAGGAGAACUCAACACUAUUUGAGAUCUGACUACUGGUGUGAGGAGAGAGAUUGCAGAUGGGAAGGAAGUGGUGCCAAGAGCUGCAGCUGCAAAAACUGCAAAUGAAUCUACAGUUAUCUCAAAAUAAAAUGAUUACUUUUAAAAAGUCAAAACUUGGAGGCCAAGAUAAGGAAACCAGUAUGUCAGUUUGGCAGUUACAACAUGAGCUUUGAAUAUGUGACAUCAUAAUGGCAGUGACCGCGGACCGCUGCGGAAUCUUCAGGCUUCAAGCAUUUGACAGUACUCUGCCAAGUGCUGUAGACUCACUCGAUUUCCCGUCCCGCGAAUUGAAGAGAAAAGGAUGUUCCCGUCAAUCAGAAAGCACGCUGAGCUUACAGGUGGACAUUCAAGGCUUCAGCGCAUGAGGUAGUCUUCUGAUCCACUAUUUCUGACCAUCCAAACAGACCGGCAAUAACAGGAACUGUUCUUUUCUUUUGUUUCCUCUAAUACAUAGAAACUAAUUAGUAACUCCAGCACCAGCUUCCUGAAAAGCUGCUCCUGUUCAUAAGAUUCAGUGCUGCUGAGCAGAAGGGAGCAGGCUUUAUACAUCCUUGGGGGAGGCGGAGACACUUUCUUGGCUCCAUGAGAGAGCCAACUCUCUCUCUCUGUGAGACAGUUUUCAGUGGGUCUAUGAAAAUACCUGUCCUAGUUAUGAAAGAAUUUUACACUCUGCUCAAUUGAGUUGUUUUAUUACCUAUUUUGACCAGGAAGUCCUGUCAGAGCUCAGCCAAGUAAUAGCUAAACUCUUGUGUUCAGAAACUUUCUGAGGUUUCCAAUAUUUUUGUUGAUCUUUGAGAAUUUUUACCCCAAUUUUGAAUAUUGAAUUAGAUAAGAUGGGGGUCAACUUCCAGGAUCUUCAGUUAUCUUCAUUUUAUCUUAACAUAAAAGCAAUUUGUAAUUAAUUCUUCACACGUUGUUUUAUUUUAUAUUAGGCCACAAGUUGUCCUGUUUGUUGUUGUUGUUCAUUCUCCUUCUUGUAAUCUGCUCUACCUUUGGCUUCUUGGCUCUCGCCUACCUAAUGGCUCACAAUUAGCUCUGCAGCUUUCUCCACCACACCUCUAAGUGUUCGCAUGCCCAAGGGCUUUGUCCUUGAAACUGUCCUCCCUCUGCAUCAGUUUCCCAAGUGACCUCACCUCUUUCUAUAGCUUUCUGUAACUCAGGGAUCCCUGAUUCUGAGCUCUGGAGCUCUGCUUUGGGGGUUGAGACUACAUUUUAGUGUUGUGUGAACCUUGAAACUUGGCAUUAAACUAUAUUGUGUAUUUGACCAGU
rnacentral:lncRNA from 1 species